GACAGAGGGGGCAAGCGUUGCUCGGAAUUACUGGGCGUAAAGGGCGCGUAGGCGGGUUGGCACGUCGGGCGUGAAAUCCCUCGGCUCAACCGAGGAACGUCGAUCGAUACUGCUGUUCUUGAGGAUUGCAGAGGAGACUGGAAUUCCCGGUGUAGCGGUGAAAUGUGUAGAGAUCGGGAGGAACACCGGUGGCGAAGGCGGUUCUCUGGGCAUGGCCUGACGCUGAGGAGCGAAAGUGUGGGGAGCGAACAGG
rnacentral:rRNA from 1 species